UACGUAGGGGGCUAGCGUUGUCCGGAAUCAUUGGGCGUAAAGCGCGUGUAGGCGGUCCGGUAAGUCCGCUGUGAAAGUCGAGGGCUCAACCCUCGAAUGCCGGUGGAUACUGUCGGGCUUGAGUACGGGAGAGGCGAGUGGAAUUCCUGGUGUAGCGGUGAAAUGCGCAGAUAUCAGGAGGAACACCAAUAGCGAAGGCAGCUCGCUGGGACGGUACUGACGCUAAGGCGGGAAAGCGUGGGGAGCGAACAGG
rnacentral:rRNA from 1 species